rnacentral:rRNA from 1 species
AACCUACGGGACGCAGCAGUGGGGGAUAUUGCACAAUGGGGGGAACCCUGAUGCAGCGACGCCGCGUGGGUGAAGAAGCGCCUCGGCGCGUAAAGCCCUGUCAGCAGGGAAGAAAAUGACGGUACCUGAAGAAGAAGCCCCGGCUAACUACGUGCCAGCAGCCGCGGUAAUACGUAGGGGGCAAGCGUUAUCCGGAUUUACUGGGUGUAAAGGGGGCGCAGACGGCGAUGCAAGCCAGGAGUGAAAGCCCGGGGCCCAACCCCGGGACUGCUCUUGGAACUGCUGAGCUGGCGUGCAGUCGGGGG